CGGGAGGUAGCGUAGUCUGGAUUAGCGCACUUGAAUGGGGUUCAAGGGGUCGCGGGUUCGAAUCCCGCCCUCCCGACCA
rnacentral:tRNA from 1 species